rnacentral:rRNA from 1 species
GACGAACGCUGGCGGCGUGCUUAACACAUGCAAGUCGAACGGAAAGGCCCUGCUUUUGUGGGGCGCUCGAGUGGCGAACGGGUGAGUAACACGUGAGUAACCUGCCCUUGACCUUGGGAUAACUUCAGGAAACUGGGGCUAAUACCGGAUAGGAGCUCCUGCUGCAUGGUGGUGGUUGGUAAUUUUCGGGGGUUGGGGAUGGUCUCGCGGCUUAGUAGCUUGUUGGUGGGGUAGCGGCUUACCAAGGCUUUGACGGGUAGCCGGCCUGAGAGGGUGACCGGCCACAUUGGGACUGAGAUGCGGCCCAGACUCCAACGGGAGGCAGCAGUGGGGAAUGUUGCACAAUGGGCGGAGGCCUGAUGCGGCAACGCCGCGUGCGGGAUGACGGCCUUCGGGUGGUAAACCGCUUUCGCCUGUGACGAAGCGUGAGUGACGGUAAUGGGUAAAGAAGCACCGGCUAACUACGUG